rnacentral:lncRNA from 1 species
GAGAGCUUUAAAAAUCUCUCCCUUUCGCACCCUUAGAUCUGGCCAAUAGGGCCACCGCUGGCGCCACCACGGCCGGAGGCUGGCUUUGCGCAAAGAGGGCGUUUCAACCCUCGCUUCCAGCGCGCUCAAAGCCCGACCCUUUCAUGCCGAGAGACCGAAGGAAAAUAAUUUUCUAGCCCUUUUUGGUCCCAAAUCCGACGACGGCGAUGGGCCUCUGACGGUAGAGCUGUGGGGGCGGUUUAGGUAUUUUCCCUUUUUCUUUUAUAUUCUAUUACUUGUUAAAGCCGGUUUGAAAAAGAAAUGACUAAAUAAAUAAAUAAAAUGAAAAAUAAAAAGGCAAACAGAAAAUAGAAAACAGAAAGACGAAAAGAAAAUAAUUAGAUUUUUCAACCUUUUUCAAUUUCUGUUUUGUUCUUUUGAUUUACUGAUAUGAGUAAAAAAAAUACAAAGAUGAUGUUCGGGCUCUUAUAGCCGGAUUAAACAACUCUUAAGUUCUAUUCUUUUGUCGUUUUGCCAUUGUUUCUUCCACUGUUGCGUGUGAGUCUUCAUUUUGCAGGCGUCAGAGGCGUGGAAGGCCAGUGAUAGGCGAGUCUCGGCCGGCGGCGGCGUGCGAGGAGGUGGAGCGGCGCGUGUUGCUGGAGCCUGGGCAUGCGGCGCUUAGGCUUAGGGUUUGCUCCUUUCUGCCGAAAAUGUUAAAGUUGUUUGGGCUAGGUUUUUAAUUCAUUUUUGGGCCUGUUGGGUUUGUAAUAAUUUUUUUUAGGUUUAAACUUGGUGUAAAUGGAUUGUUUUUUUUGUUUUUAUUAUUUGGGUUUAUUUGGCUGGUAUGGGCCCGGGCAAAAAUGGGCUCUUACACUAUCAAUUCGGG